CCAAGGUUUUUGUAUAAAAAUCCUUGGAAAUAAAGAAAACCUUGGAAACUACCUCGGAAUUAAACACUCUGCCAAAAAUCAGCUCGGAAAAAGCUUGGAAAUAAGAACUUUGUCAUUUUUUUGCUUGGAAAAGAACUUAGAAAAUUUACGUAAAAUUUGUUGGAAACACUUUGCCAAUAUUUAGCUUGGAAAUGACCUCGGAUAAUUGAACUUAACUAAAUUUCAUCUCGGAAAAUGUUAAGACAUAAUCAUGAUUUAACUUAUAAUGGGCAUCAAAAGCAAUAAUCAACAGUUAAAGCAAACUAAGAUAACAACCCGACUGUAGAUUGCCAAUGGAUAUUUUUUAAUCCAUGGUCAGAGCAAACAAUUGUCCAACAGCAUGGAAAGGAGAGAUUUGGUCCAGGGAAUCAAUUUUUAGUAUGGACAUUGUCAAUGGCCAACUUCCUUUUCAAUAAAUUUGUACUUUAAUCUUCUGAAGCCAUUUUUUGGGGAGGAAUCAAUUAAAAAAAUUUAAGUGUGAAAACAUGGAAAAGUUAAAUACAAUGUAAAUUCCUUGUUGCCAUAAAAUACCUUUUAUUAAUGGCUAUAAAGGUAUUGUAACUUAUCAAAAUAAGAUAAAGAUUAUUCAAAUAACUGAUGAUCAGAAAGACUUGAAAAUUUUAUUUUUUUUAUUUUCAUAUUUUUUUUUAUUAUUUAUAAUUAUUGUUACUAGAUAUCUUCUCCAUUUUUAAGAAUAGAUAAAAGAGCAAAACUUAUAAUUAUAGAAAAAGAAACAAUCAGUGUUUAUGUCUAUUAGUUUCCAAAUGCAUCAGUAUUUUUCCUGCAGUUUCUUUCUAUAUAUAGACUUAACUUAGGGUUUCUUGACAGCCUGUAAGCAACACUGAAAUAAGAAUGCUAUUAAUCUUUAAUAUAUGUUUUAUGCCAUAUAAAAUAGUAUAUUCUACUAAGCAAGUCUGUGACAUACAUUCAGAUUACAAUUUACUCUGCCAUUAAUUAUGUGUACAAUAAACAUAAAUAGUCAUUAAUUGUCCUUUAAAUAUAAUUAUGUACAAUUGAAUGUCUGAAAUAUAAUAACCAGUAUGCUUGUUAAUUUCUUAUAAUUAGGAUAAAUAAAUACUGCAUCCACUAAGAUUUCACACACAGAAUAAUUAACACACUGAUCAGAUAAAACUAAUGGCACCCCAGGUGGUUCCCUUUAUCUAUGCAUGAUCAAUCUUCUCAUUGAGCAUUCUGGGAUAGACCAGAUUGUUCCAUGUGAUUGUUCAGGGGGAGUCUGGGUUUUUAUACAAUCCAAAACAGUCUAAAAUGACACUGCAACUGUGAUUCUCUUUCAAGAACUUAUUAUAAUUUUCAAGUUUUACUUUUAUUUAUCAUUUGAUAUAUUUGUACCUUUAAUAAAUGUCAAAAAAAAAUGAUGAUGGCUUUGAUAUUUUGGGAUCACCCCUGUUUCACAUUAUGAUUGCCCCUUCAGUUAUACUGUUGAAAAAUUUGAAUCUCAGACAUUAAUGGGUCAAGUGGUUAUAGUUGGAAAUUGUGCAAACCUGGAUUUAUUUAAAGCAAUUAUGGAGAUAUCUUGUUUUAUUAAUGUUAGGGAGCAUAUUUUGGAAUUUUCAAAGAAAACAUUUAUCUAAGUGUGACAAGAUUCAGGAAAUGUUUGGUUGUUGUAUAUUGAACCUAAAGAUCAAUGACCUGGGACAGGAAGAUAAACAAAAGAAACAAGAUAGUUAAAAUGUUCAGAGUCAGCUUGUAAGCAAGUUUGCAGGACUGUUCCAAACUAUCCAGCUUUGCUGUGUUUUAUCAUAGUAUAAAGCAGAGGAAUAUACUGGAAUGUCAUUGGCAUUGGCACCUUCAAAGUCAAGUGAUUAAGGAAGCCAACUGAAGACCUGAGGAAAGGCUUCAAGGAAUAUACUACAAAAUUGUAUCCUGGAGCAUUUUCCACAUGUGACCCCUGUGAUGGUGAGGGAAAAACUAAGGGACACUUUAAAAUCAUGGAGAGUGAACAGGAAUUCAAAAGAUAGAUAUUUGAAUACAUUAAAAUAUAGCCGGAUACCAAAAAAUUAUAACUGAACAUUGAUUGUAAUAUUUACCAUUAAAGACUAUAACUAACUUAACUUUUCAUUUGUAGUGCAUUACUAUUUACUUCACACUGACAUUAAAUGUUUCAGUGAGUUAUGUGAUCAUUUUUUGCUCUGUAUUAUUAUAAAGAAUUUUCUUAAUUCCUUAAAAGGACAAUAUAAUAAUUAUUGCUCUUUUCAGAAUAUUUCAUUGGAUGUUAUAUUUUCUUAUUUUCCAUGGAUAUUCUAGAAAUUUCCAAGGUUUUUGCUCAAAUAAACCUUGGAAAAUUCUCUGAUGCCCUUAAGUAAGAAUCCUCGAAAAUAUAACAGUAUUCCCAGUUGUGAGAAACUUUCCGAGGUUUUCAUUUAAAAACCUUGGAAAAAAAACCACGGAAACACUUUAAAAAUCCUUGGAAAUCGUUCCAAUACUCCGAGGUCACUCAUUUUCCAAGGUUUUCUAAAAAAAAUUAUUUUACGAGGUUUUUAUUCUGAAAUCCUUGGAAAUCGUUCCAAUACUCCGAGGUCAUACUUUUUACGAGGUUUUUUUUAAUAAAAACUCGGAAAUUUUUUACAAGGUUUUUCACCCUCUCCCUAUUUUUCCAAGGUUUUUUUAAUAGCAAAGUUUUGCAUUUUCUUGUUCCAAUACUCCGAGGUUUUUUUCCAAGGUUUUUGAGCCAAAAACCUUGGAAAAUCUACACCCGGGAU